rnacentral:rRNA from 1 species
ACGGAAGGCAGCAGUGGGGAAUAUUGGACAAUGGGGGAAACCCUGAUCCAGCGACGCCGCGUGACUGAAGAAGUAUUUCGGUAUGUAAAGGUCUAUCAGCAGGGAAGAAAAUGACGGUACCUGACUAAGAAGCCCCGGCUAACUACGUGCCAGCAGCCGCGGUAAUACGUAGGGGGCAAGCGUUAUCCGGAUUUACUGGGUGUAAAGGGAGCGUAGACGGCGAAGCAAGUCUGAAGUGAAAGCCCGGGGCUCAACCCCGGAAUUGCUUUGGAAACUGUUUUGCUGGAGUGCAGGAGAGGCAAGCGGAAUUCCUAGUGUAGCGGUGAAAUGCGUAGAUAUUAGGAGGAACACCAGUGGCGAAGGCGGCUUGCUGGACUGUAACUGACGUUGAGGCUCGAAAGCGUGGGGAGCAAACAGGAUUAGAUACCCUGGUA